rnacentral:rRNA from 1 species
AAUCAACGCUGGCGGCGUGCCUCAGACAUGCAAGUCGAACGUGAAAGUUCCUUCGGGAAUGAGUAAAGUGGCGCACGGGUGAGUAACACGUGGGUAAUUUGCCUUCGGGUGGGGAAUACCAACCGGAAACGGUUGUUAAUACCGCAUGAUGCAGCGGCUCGACAUCGAGACAGUUGUUAAAGCGGGGGAGCGGAGCAAUCCGUCCGUCGCGCCUGAAGAGAAGCCGCGGCGGAUUAGAGUUGUGAGGUAAUGCUCACCAAGCCGCGAUCCGUAACCGACCUGAGAGGGUGGUCGGUCACACUGACACUGACAUACGGGUC